rnacentral:rRNA from 1 species
GUAAGGAAUAUUGCUCAAUGGGAGAAAUCCUGAAGCAGCAACGCCGCGUGGAGGAUGAAGGGUCUAUGACUUGUAAACUCCUGUAAAGAAGGAAAAAAUUCCCAUUUGAUGGGAGAUAAUGGUACUUCUGGAGUAAGCCCCGGCUAACUACGUGCCAGCAGCCGCGGUAAUACGUAGGGGGCAAGCGUUGCCCGGAUUUACUGGGUGUAAAGGGUGCUCAGGCGGAUUUGUAAGUCAGAGGUGAAAUCUUACAGCUUAACUGUGAAACUGCCUUUGAUACUGCAAGCCUAGAGUAUGGAAGAGAGUGAUGGAAUAUCUGGUGUAGCAGUGAAAUGCGUAGAUAUCAGAUAGAACACCAAUGGCGAAGGCAGUCACUUGGUCCAUUACUGACGCUAAAGCACGAAAGCGUGGGUAGCAAACA